GACGAACGCUGGCGGCGUGCUUAACACAUGCAAGUCGAACGCUGAAGACCUGGCUUUUGUUGGGUUGGAUGAGUGGCGAACGGGUGAGUAACACGUGAGUAACCUGCCCUCUUCUUUGGGAUAACGCCCGGAAACGGGUGCUAAUACUGGAUAUUCACUGAUCUUCGCAUGGGGGUUGGUGGAAAGGUUUGUUCUGGUGGGGGAUGGGCUCGCGGCCUAUCAGCUUGUUGGUGGGGUGAUGGCCUACCAAGGCUUUGACGGGUAGCCGGCCUGAGAGGGUGACCGGGCACAUUGGGACUGAGAUACGGCCCAGACUCCUACGGGAGGCAGCAGUGGGGAAGAUUGCACAAUGGGCGAAAGCCUGAUGCAGCGACGCCGCGUGAGGGAUGGAGGCCUUCGGGUUGUAAACCUCUUUCGCUCAUGGUCAAGCCGCAACUGUGGGUUGUGGUGAGGGUAGUGGGUAAAGAAGCGCCGGCUAACUACGUG
rnacentral:rRNA from 1 species